UACGUAGGGAGCAAGCGUUGUCCGGAAUCAUUGGGCGUAAAGCGCGCGUAGGUGGCUUCGUAAGUCCGUUGUGAAAGUCAAAGGCUCAACCUUUGAAAGCCGAUGGAUACUGUGAAGCUAGAGUACGGAAGAGGCGAGUGGAAUUCCUGGUGUAGCGGUGAAAUGCGCAGAUAUCAGGAGGAACACCAAUGGCGAAGGCAGCUCGCUGGGACGGUACUGACGCUGAGACGCGAAAGCGUGGGGAGCAAACAGG
rnacentral:rRNA from 1 species